AUACGGAGGGUGCAAGCGUUAAUCGGAAUUACUGGGCGUAAAGCGUACGUAGGCGGUUUAUUAAGUCAGAUGUGAAAGCCCCGGGCUUAACCUGGGAACUGCAUUUGAUACUGGCAAACUAGAGUAUGGUAGAGGCGGGUAGAAUUCCUAGUGUAGCGGUGAAAUGCGUAGAUAUUAGGAGGAAUACCAGUGGCGAAGGCGGCCCGCUGGACCAAUACUGACACUGAGGUACGAAAGCGUGGGUAGCGAACAGGAUUAGAAACCCCGGUAGUCC
rnacentral:rRNA from 1 species